rnacentral:tRNA from 1 species
GCGCUGGUGGCGUAACGGGCUAACAUUCUGCCCGAAGGCAAGGAGUGCGGGUUCAAGUCCCGCCUUGCGCG